rnacentral:rRNA from 1 species
GACGAACGCUGGCGGCGUGCUUAACACAUGCAAGUCGAACGGCAAGGCUCCAGCUUGCUGGAAUGCUCGAGUGGCGAACGGGUGAGUAACACGUGGGCAAUCUGCCCUGCACUCUGGGAUAAGCCUGGGAAACUGGGUCUAAUACCGGAUAGGAACUUUCUCCUCAUGGGGUUUGGUGGAAAGUUUUUCGGUGCAGGAUGAGCCCGCGGCCUAUCAGCUCGUUGGUGGGGUAAUGGCCUACCAAGGCGACGACGGGUAGCCGGCCUGAGAGGGUGAUCGGCCACAUUGGGACUGAGAUACGGCCCAGACUCCUACGGGAGGCAGCAGUGGGGAAUAUUGCACAAUGAGCGAAAGCGUGAUGCAGCGACGCCGCGUGAGGGAUGACGGCCUUCGGGUUGUAAACCUCUUUCAGUAGGGACGAAGCGCAAGGGACGGUACCUGCAGAAGAAGCACCGGCUAACUACGU